rnacentral:lncRNA from 1 species
AGAGGCCCCAUCUCAGCAACGCAAGCCCCUUCCUAAUUUACUCACCAGAAUCAAGCUGCCUUAACCUUUUGUGGAGCGGGAAGGGCAGGAGGACAGACAAAGGACUUGGUCACACACAAUAGUUAGCUUCUCUGUGAUGUGCUUUCUAAACUUUGGGGAUUAAUCAGUGCAGAUUGAUGGUGUUGCCCAAGUUUGUCCUUGUGUUAGCUGUUCUGCAGGGGGUCUUCAUGGAUCUCGGUGGAAUUUUUCUCAAGCUUCUAUGAUCAACUAGUGUGCUGGCUGGCAGGAUCCCUGGCCUAGAGCGCUGCCAUGGGAAGCUCUCUCCUACUUGGCCCCUCAUCUUGCUUCAAGCCAGCCCCUGAGGUAGCACAUCAAGAGAAAGAGAAGCCAAAACCUGGGCUUGAAUCCACAGCUAGCACUCAUCCAACAUCCUGCUGACCAAGCGAACCAUGUGGUCAGGUCAGGAGAUGGCGAAGCAGAAUUCACUUCUGAUGUCACAGAGUGCCAGAGACGAGGACAUAGAUACAAAAUGGAUGAAGAGUUAGGGAUACUGAUGAAGUCUGUCAGCCAUGGCGUGAGAAGACAGUGGGAGAACUAACCCGGGAAGAAGAUGACCAGGCUCACAGUGAAGAAGACAGAACUUGCUCCCUGAUCCUGUGUCUCCUGCCCGUGUUCUCUCAUCCUUUCCUCAAGCACUGGAACAUUUAUUUGAUGUUUGUGUAGGAACAUUUGGUCUUGUCUGCGGAACCAAGGGUCUUUUCACCAUAGGCAUUUUGUGCAUCUUGGCAGAGUUACAACAUGUCUUACUUUCCCUUAGGAGAAAUUAAAGAUUCCUACUGGCUAUUUACUCCCAGAAAGGAUGCCCCAGAGUCUUAGUUCUAAGGAUAGGGUGUUUCUAAUCUACAUUUUCUUUUUUUUGUCUUCUAAUACUAUGGUGAAAAUAAUAAAGUAAAUAUUGAAAUCUCC